rnacentral:lncRNA from 1 species
GAAAGAAAUUAUUGGAGGAGAGGAAGUGACUAUGGAAGCUCCGAUGGAAAAGCUCAUGGACGGCUUGAAGCUUCAUGUUUGGUUGGUAUUAGAUUUUUAGGUUUUUCUAUUUAAGUUUCAAUUUGUUUUUUUUUUUUAAUUUUUCUAUCACGGGAUUUAUAUUUAUUUUUCUCAACUUGUGUCAUAGUUGUCGCAGGUAAUUAUGAGAGCAUCAAGGUCCAAAGAACAAGAGGACUUGGUCCUUGCACAAGAGCUGCGGAUGCAACUCGAUAUCCUUCAAGAGACGGUAGGACACAAUUGGUGCCAUUUGUUUUUUUCCACAAUAUUUGUCUCAAGAAACAAGAAAUUCUUCGUAUGAAGUUUGAACAGUUGUAAUAGGUAAUUUAUCCAUUGUUUUAGUUCAUAGAAGAAUCACGACAAUAUGUUUAUUACUAAAAAUAUUAAUUUUCUUUUA